GACGAACGCUGGCGGCGUGCUUAACACAUGCAAGUCGAACGGUAAGGCCCUUCGGGGUACACGAGUGGCGAACGGGUGAGUAACACGUGGGUGAUCUGCCCUGCACUUCGGGAUAAGCCUGGGAAACUGGGUCUAAUACCGGAUAGGACUCCGGACUGCAUGGUCGGGGGUGGAAAGCUUUUGCGGUGUGGGAUGGGCCCGCGGCCUAUCAGCUUGUUGGUGGGGGGAUGGCCUACCAAGGCGACGACGGGUAGCCGGCCUGGGAGGGUGACCGGCCACACUGGGACUGGGAUACGGCCCAGACUCCUACGGGAGGCNNCAGUGGGGAAUAUUGCACAAUGGGCGCAAGCCUGAUGCAGCGACGCCGCGUGAGGGAUGACGGCCUUCGGGUUGUAAACCUCUUUCAGCAUCGACGAAGCGAAAGUGACGGUAGGUGCAGAAGAAGGACCGGCCAACUACGUGCCAGCAGCCGCGGUAA
rnacentral:rRNA from 1 species